rnacentral:tRNA from 1 species
GAUUAGCUUAGUUUAAUGCUAAAACAUUAGUUUGUGAUACUAAAAAUAAGGAUAACCUUAACUAAUCC